UAUUUACCUUUAGGAGGGGGAUAAGGUUUUUAAUCAAAUACCCCAUAUGCUUUCGAGUGAAAUGGAGAUUUCCGCCUAAAGAGAAGCUUGCGGCUGAUUAGCUUGUUGGUAAGGUAAUGGCUUACCAAGGCGACGAUCAGUAUCUGGUUUGAGAGGACGAUCAGACACACUGGAACUGAGACACGGUCCAGACUCUUACGGGAGGCAGCAGUGGGGAAUUUUCCGCAAUGGGCGAAAGCCUGACGGAGCAAUACCGCGUGAGGGAUGAAAGCCUACGGGUUGUAAACCUCUUUUUUCAGGGAGGAAGUUCUGACGUGUACCUGAAGAAUAAGCAUCGGCUAACUCCGUGCCAGCAGCCGCGGUAAGACGGGGGAUGCAAGUGCUAUCCGGAAUCACUGGGCGUAAAGCGUCUGUAGGUGGUUGAAUAAGUCAACUGUUAAAUCUUGAGGCUCAACUUCAAAAUCGCAGUCGAAACUAUUCGACUAGAGUAUAGUAGGGGUAAAGGGAAUUUCCAGUGGAGCGGUGAAAUGCGUAGAGAUUGGAAAGAACACCGAUGGCGAAGGCACUUUACUGGGCUAUUACUAACACUGAGAGACGAAAGCUAGGGUAGCAAAUGGGAUUAGAUACCCCAGUAGUCCUAGCUGUAAACAAUGGAUACUAGAUGUUGAGCAGAUCUUUCUGUGCAGUAUCAAAGCUAACGCGUUAAGUAUCCCGCCUGGGAAG
rnacentral:rRNA from 1 species